GAAAAGUUAGAAAAUUCAAUUGCAUCAAUAUCAUCUGCAGUGCCAUCAGCAAUAGAAACAGUAUUAACUGCAGUACCACCAG
rnacentral:lncRNA from 1 species